rnacentral:rRNA from 1 species
GACGAACGCUGGCGGCGUGCUUAACACAUGCAAGUCGAACGGAAAGGCCCUGCUUUUGUGGGGUGCUCGAGUGGCGAACGGGUGAGUAACACGUGAGUAACCUGCCCCUGACUUUGGGAUAACUUCAGGAAACUGGGGCUAAUACCGGAUAGGAGCUCCUGCUGCAUGGUGGGGGAUGGAAAGUUUCGGCGGUUGGGGAUGGACUCGCGGCUUAUCAGCUUGUUGGUGGGGUAGUGGCUUACCAAGGCUUUGACGGGUAGCCGGCCUGAGAGGGUGACCGGCCACAUUGGGACUGAGAUACGGCCCAGGCUCCUACGGGAGGCAGCAGUGGGGAAUAUUGCACAAUGGGCGGAGGCCUGAUGCAGCAACGCCGCGUGCGGGAUGACGGCCUUCGGGUUGAAAACCGCUUUCGCCUGUGACGAAGCGUGAGUGACGGUAAUGGGUAAAGAAGCACCGGCUAACUACGUG